rnacentral:rRNA from 1 species
CCGGGCUCAACCCGGGACUUGCCGGUUGAAACUGAUAAUCUUGAGUGUAACUGAUGUGGNCGGAAUGUGUCAAGUAGCGGUGAAAUGCAUAGAUAUGACACAGAACACCGAUAGCGAAGGCAGCUCACAAAAGUACAACUGACACUGAGGCACGAAAGCGUGGGUAUCAAACAGGAUUAGAUACCCUGGUAGUCCACGCUGUAAACGAUGAUCACUAGCUGUUUGCGAUACAUUGUAAGUGGUUAAGCGAAAGCGAUAAGUGAUCCACCUGGGGAGUACGUCGGCAACGAUGAAACUCAAAGGAAUUGACGGGGGCCCGCACAAGCGGAGGAGCAUGUGGUUUAAUUCGAUGAUACGCGAGGAACCUUACCUGGGCUUGAACGUAUGGUGCAUGAGUGUGAGAGCACUCUUUCCUUCACAGGACUUCAUACGAGGUGCUGCAUGGUUGUCGUCAGCUCGUGCCGUGAGGUGUUAGGUUAAGUCCUGCAACGAGCGCAACCCCUGUUUUUAGUUGCCAGCAGGUUAUGCUGGGCACUCUAGAAAGACUGCCUGCGCAAGCAGAGAGGAAGGUGGGGAUGACGUCAAAUCAGCACGGCCCUUACGUCCAGGGCUACACACGUGCUACAAUGGUCGGCACAGAGGGUGGCUACCCGGCAACGGGAUGCUAAUCUCCAAAGUCGAUCUUAGUUCGGAUCGAAGUCUGCAACUCGACUUCGUGAAGUUGGAUUCGCUAGUAAUCGUAUAUCAGCCAUGAUACGGUGAUACGUUCCCGGGCCUUGUACACACCGCCCGUCAAGCCAUGGAAGUUGGGGUACCUGAAGUCGAUUACCGUAAGG